GAAAUGUGGACAAUAUUAGUAGAGAAUUGAGCAAUAAGAUCCAGUUGCCUAAUUUGUCUAGGUGAAGCUUUGUCAGGUUUCUGAAGAAAAGCAUAAAUUAAAGUGAUGCUCCUACAGCGAAAUCAGAAGCAUCACAAGUAAGAAUCAAAGGAACUUGAGGAGCAGGAUGAGAGAGGGUAGUCACACGGAGAAGUUCUUCUUUGCAAUUCUGAAAAGCUGCUUCUGUCUCCAUAGACCAAGGAAUAGUUCUCCUAUCUCUCUUGCGACUGUCCUUCAAAAAGUUUGUUUGAUUCCUUGACUAGAGACAAGAUAUCCGAGAAAAGUAAUUUCUUUUUGACCAAAAAGACAUUUGGAUACAUUAAGUGACAAUCCAGCUUUCUGUAGACGAUCAAAAACAAUCCGCAAAUGAGUGAUGUGUUCUGACUCAUCUCUAGAAGCUAUGAGAAUAUCGUCAAGAUAGCAAAAUGCAAAAUCUAAAUCAUUUAACAAUAUAUUCAUAAACCUCUGAAAUGUUUGAGCUGCGUUACGAAGACCAAAAGGCAUAACCAAAAAUUCGAAAAGUCCAAAAGAAAAAAUAUUCUUACCGUAGAGCUCCGCAGUGAAAUCUUGUAUGUGAGGCAAU